GCCGGACUGGCUCCCUCGUUGCGAGGUCUUUCCUCGGGCACAGGUAGCCUCCAGGAGAGCCGGGACCUUGUAUGUGAAUUUUGUUUAUCACUGUAUCCCCAGCAUAGCAGGAUGCAAGUCUUAUAAUAAGUGCCCCGAUGGCAUAUACUUAUAUUUACCUGCCUCACUCAUUUUGGGCAUGGCCAUGUAACCGGGUGCACAGAAGUGGGAGUGUACUGAGGCUUUGAAUGUUUGUUUAGCCUCUGGAGCUCCUGCCUACUCCAUGAUGUAAGUACAUCCAGGGUAGCCAUAGUUCCAGGAUGAA